GUCUACGGCCAUACCACGAUGAAUACACCGGUUCUCGUCCGAUCACCGAAGUUAAGCAUUGUCGGGCCAGGAUAGUACUUGGAUGGGGGACCGCCUGGGAACUCCUGGUGCCGUAGACU
rnacentral:rRNA from 14 species